ACACCUCCACCGCCGUCGCACACCUCCACCGCAUUCGCACAGCUCCACCGCCGUCGCACACCCAUCGCCGCAAAGCACACCCACCGCCAUCCUCCGCCGCUGCAAGACCACAGCAGUCGCUGCAACACCGCCUUAGCCGCUGCAAUGCCACCUCCCUCCGCCACUGCAACGCCACCUCCCGCCGCCGCACCACCGCUGGAACGCGAGCUCCGAUGCACCGCCGUACCGCCGUCCGGUCUCCACAGCACAGGUGAUUAGUUUGAUUCGAGAUUUGCUUAUCGACGUGGACAAAUCUUUGGUGAGAUGGCACUAAGAGGUGUUUUGCAACUUCAGAAGCUGGUAGUGAGCUAUUGUGAUUGGGGAGGCAGUAGCAGGGGUUUAAGGUUUGCAUAAGUUUAAACUUUGCCUAUUGUUUAAGGUGAAGCUUUUUUGUAUCAAACAUUUGAAACGGCUGUAAUGGUUGAGGACACCUGACCCCCUUAUACCAUUUAGGAACUAAGGAGUGUAUACAUUAUCAAGUAAAUCGCUG